AAGGAAAAUCGAUCACGCGUCAGGCCGCUCGACGAGGGUGUAGUGACGCCAACGACGGUAGUGGGGCGUACCUUCGCUUGGUUUCUCCCUCGCUGUCUGAACCAACUCCACAAGUCUGGCAACACUUGAUCAGGUGGUUGAAAGGGUCACACAAUACACAUUCGCAGGUACACUUAAUCACGAGCAACGACUACCGGACGACAACGCGACACUCUGAUGACGCAACAUGGCAAAGCAUGUUUUGAUGUAUCGAAAGACGAGGAGCGAAGCGAGAAGACCGGAGCAAUGCGACCGACAGCAGCGGCGGCACCAGCAACAACGGCAACGACGAUGACGACGAUCGAACGAUACACCCAACCUGACUGAACUCGCACUCGCGACUGAUCGCUUGCGCGCGCUUGUCUAGCGAUCCGACUACAGCGCCGCUCACGGAAGCCGAUGGAAACGUGCGCUGCAAACGUCAAAUUUCGAUCGGCGCGUGCUCGCUACGCAGACGGCAACAUAUGUACAAGUUCCGGAAUGGAAACUUUAACCUGGAGGAUGACGAACGUCCUAAACAAUCCAAAAAGAUGGAAGACGACGAUCUGGAGAAGCUGCUGGCCAAAAAUUCAUGCCAAACCCAAGUAGAAUUAGCUGCAGCGUUAGGAGUUACCCAGCGUUAGGAGUUACCCCAGCAAAUCAUUUUUAUCUGGUUAAAAAUGCUGGGUAAAACUCAAAAAGAGAAUCGUUGGGUUCCGUUCAAGAGGAAGAGUUUUUUGCAUAAAUUAGUGACCAGUGAUGAAACGUGGGCGUAUUAUGAUAAUCUCAAAAGACGAAAAGCGUGGGUUAAUCCUAGUGAACUGUCAACAUCGAUCACAAAACCCAAUAUUCAUGGCAAAAAACUCCAUUUAUGAUUUUGUGGGACUUCAAGGAUAUGAUAUAUUAUGAAUUGUUAAAAUCGAGUGAAACUAUUAUUGCUGAGCGUUACAAACAUCAACUUUUGCGUUUAAAUGACGAAAUCGAACGCAAGAGAUCUUUUACGGGCAACGGGCCUAGGCCGAUCAUUCCACUGCACGAUAACGCGAGAUCACAUACGGCAAAAAAAACCAAGAACAUGCUUGAUUCGUUGGGCUGGAAAAUUUUGCCACAUUCGGCGUAUUCACCGGAUCUAGGCCCGUCAGAUUUUCACUUCCCAUACAGCACCGAAAUCUUUUAGAUAUUUCAGAAAUGUUUCAUGUGAAAAAAUGGAACAUCCCAGAAACGAUUCAAAAUGUUUCUGAGACAGCUCUGAGACGGUUUUGGGAUAGCAAAAUAUUUGCGAAUCAUGCACUUAAAAUCUUCCUGAAGAUGUGCCGAAAAGUUACUGAAAUAUGUCUAAAACAUUUCUGAAUAUUUGUUGAAAAGUUAUUGAAAUAGUUACUUAUAUGCAUAAUUACGUUUAUUUAUUCAUAAAUUAUGUAUUAAUAUUGUUUACACAUUUCAGUAUCGUGUAUUA